rnacentral:rRNA from 1 species
AAAGAAACUAACAAGGAUUCCCGUAGUAACUGCGAGUGAAGUGGGAAAAGCUCAAAUUUGGAAUCUGGCGGUCUGUGGCCGUCCGAGUUGUAAUCUAGAGAAGUGUUACCUGCGCUGGACCGUGUACAAGUCUCCUGGAAUGGAGCGUCAUAGAGGGUGAGAAUCCCGUCUCUGACACGGACUACCAGGGCUUUGUGGUAUGCUCUCAAAGAGUCGAGUUGUUUGGGAAUGCAGCUCAAAAUGGGUGGUAAACUCCAUCUAAAGCUAAAUACUGGCAAGAGACCGAUAGUGAACAAGUACCGUGAGGGAAAGAUGAAAAGAACUUUGGAAAGAGAGUUAAACAGUACGUGAAAUUGCUGAAAGGGAAACGCUUGAAGUCAGUCGUGUUGGCUGGGGAUCAGCCUCACUUCUUUGUGUGGUGUAUUUCCUGGUUGACAGGUCAGCAUCAAUUUUGACCACUGGAAAAAGGCUUGAGGAAUGUGGCAGCCCUGGCUGUGUUAUAGCUUCUUGUCAGAUACAGUGGUUGGGAUUGAGGUGUGCAGCACGCCGCAAGGCCGGGGCAUUGCCCACGUACGUGCUUAGGAUGUUGACAUAAUGGCUUU